AGAUUGAACGCUGGCGGCAGGCCUAACACAUGCAAGUCGAGCGGUAGAGAGGUGCUUGCAUCUCUUGAGAGCGGCGGACGGGUGAGUAAUGCCUAGGAAUCUGCCUAGUGGGUGGGGGAUAACGUUCGGAAACGGACGCUAAUACCGCAUACGUCCUACGGGAGAAAGCGGGGGACCUUCGGGCCUCGCGCCAUUAGAUGAGCCUAGGUCGGAUUAGCUAGUUGGUGAGGUAAUGGCUCACCAAGGCGACGAUCCGUAACUGGUCUGAGAGGAUGAUCAGUCACACUGGAACUGAAGACACGGUCCAGACUCGUACGGGAGCAGCAGGUGGGAAUAUGGACAAGUGGGAC
rnacentral:rRNA from 1 species